AGUGGAAUGGCUGGGUCAUAUGGUAGAUGUAUUUUUAACUUUUUAAGGAACUGCCAAACUUCUUUUCAGAGUAGUUGUGCCAUUUUGCAUUCCCACCAGUAGU
rnacentral:pre_miRNA from 1 species